CGCGGGGUGGAGCAGCUUGGUAGCUCGUCGGGCUCAUAACCCGAAGGUCGUCGGUUCAAAUCCAGUACCCGCAACCA
rnacentral:tRNA from 1 species